CCGAAACCCCUCUCCCACCCGCCCUUCUUCCUCUUUUCCUGUCACGAACCCUAAUUUCUCCCCUGCUGAAGUCCUUCCAAUUCGACCUUCGAAUGUCUUCGACGAAAUCUUCGAAGCUAGCUUGCGGUUCUUCCUCUUUUCCUUCCGAGAAGCUAGCUUGUCCAAGCUUCGAUUGCGGUUGCGGACGAAAUCUUCGAUAGUUCCAUUCCAUGGCCGUAGGGCAUAUUGGAAUUUCAAGACCCCCUCUGCCUGGGCCGUAUUUCAUGCAAAUCUUGCUAGUAUUUUCAUUAAUAAGUUGAUGUGUUCUUACUAUUCAGCUCUGCAAUUGAUGUGUUGCUAAUACAAGAAGCAGCUUUUAUAUGACAGCUAGCUCUUGGUUUUUGUUUAGUGAUACUGAGUGUCGCUGAAGUUUGGGGCCCUUAAGAAGCGGCUGAUGUUCAUAAUUGCUUAAUCUUUUCCUAUUGAUGAUUUGAUGCUUACAUACUCGGGGCCGGGGACAGACAGUUGGAAGAAUAGUUGUCGGUUUUGAGUGAAAUAAAAUGGAUAAACUAGAGGAAAAAGUUAUUGGUUUUGCCUUGCUUCCUUCUCAGUGUUCUGUUUGCACCGUAUUCGAAUUACUUUUCCCAAUUGCAUUUGCUGAGCGAGUGUUUGCUACGUCUGUUUGACUAAUUUCUUGUCCUGAAUUCUAAUGCAUGAUUCACUUCAUGGUGGACCGUAUGUGCUAAAUGAGAGUCUCGAGGUUCUCCCAUGUGAUUUUUAUAUGUUGAUGAUCUGGAAAAUGUAAACCUCCUUUAUCUGAUCAUGAUUCUAUGAACAAAGUCAUUUGCUGUUAUAUGUGCUAGUAUGGCUCCAUUUGUAUGCUC